GAUGAACGCUAGCUACAGGCUUAACACAUGCAAGUCGAGGGGCAGCAUGGUCUUAGCUUGCUAAGGCCGAUGGCGACCGGCGCACGGGUGAGUAACACGUAUCCAACCUGCCGUCUACUCUUGGACAGCCUUCUGAAAGGUAGAUUAAUACAAGAUGGCAUCAUGAGUCCGCAUGUUCACAUGAUUAAAGGUAUUCCGGUAGACGAUGGGGAUGCGUUCCAUUAGAUAGUAGGCGGGGUAACGGCCCACCUAGUCUUCGAUGGAUAGGGGUUCUGAGAGGAAGGUCCCCCACAUUGGAACUGAGACACGGUCCAAACUCCUACGGGAGGCAGCAGUGAGGAAUAUUGGUCAAUGGGCGCAGGCCUGAACCAGCCAAGUAGCGUGAAGGAUGACUGCCCUAUGGGUUGUAAACUUCUUUUAUAAAGGAAUAAAGUCGGGUAUGUAUACCCGUUUGCAUGUACUUUAUGAAUAAGGAUCGGCGAACUCCGG
rnacentral:rRNA from 1 species